rnacentral:rRNA from 1 species
UAGGGAAUCUUCGGCAAUGGGGGGAACCCUGACCGAGCAACGCCGCGUGAGUGAAGAAGGUUUUCGGAUCGUAAAGCUCUGUUGUUAAGGAAGAACGAGUGUGAGAAUGGAAAGUUCAUACUGUGACGGUACUUAACCAGAAAGGGACGGCUAACUACGUGCCAGCAGCCGCGGUAAUACGUAGGUCCCGAGCGUUUUCCGGAUUUAUUGGGCGUAAAGCGAGCGCAGGCGGUUAGAUAAGUCUGAAGUUAAAGGCAGUGGCUCAACCAUUGUAGGCUUUGGAAACUGUUUAACUUGAGUGCAGAAGGGGAGAGUGGAAUUCCAUGUGUAGCGGUGAAAUGCGUAGAUAUAUGGAGGAACACCGGUGGCGAAAGCGGCUAUCUGGUCUGUAACUGACGCUGAGGCUCGAAAGCGUGGGGAGCGAACAGG